AGAGAGUACAACAAGCACACAGUCAGUGCGGGAGAUCCCAGCCACAAGGAGAAGAGAGAGAGAGAGAGGCGCACACACAGGCAAGCUCCACUUCCACGCACAUUAGGAGAGAGACCAAGCCGUGGACGAGGGCUUCUCCGACGGAUCCUCCUGCUUUUUGACACCGGGAAGGAGCUGCCAAGGCGAAGAAGGGACCCAGGCAGAGGAGUCGGCCGAGGAAAAGCCUCCCUUCCCAGGCAUCAUCUAGGUCUCCUUCUAAAAGCUUGCCCAGGCUCCAGCCUUACCUCCCAAACAAUCUGGAAAAAGCAAAGAAGUUGGUGCUGGUGGCGUAAGCUUUCCUAGGCUUAAGUCCAAAAGGAACAACUGAGGAAGGGGAUGAAGUUGGGAGCUGCAUCUCUUUGUGCCAAUCUGUUUCCAAACAAUCUAGGGGUGAGGUGGUUGGCAUAACCUUUCAUAGAUUCAAGCCCACUUGCAAAAAAUCUGAGGAGGGGGCGAGUUGGUGGCAUAAACUUUCAUGGCCAUCCACUUGCAAAAAAUCUGAGGAGUUGGUGGCACAAACUUUCCUAAUCUGUUUCCAAACCAUCUAGGGGUGAGGUGGUUAGCAUCAGCUUUCAUGUUCCAUCCACUUGCAAAAAAUCUGAGGAGGGGGGCAGUUGGUGGCAUAAACUUUUCUAAUGUUUCCAAAUAAUCUAGGGGUGAGGUGGUUAGCAUAAGCUUUCAUGUCCCAUCCACUUGCAAAAAAUCUGAGGAGGGGGGAGUUGGUGGCAUAAACUUUCCUAAUCUGUUUCCAAAUAAUCUAGGGGUGAGGUGGUUGGCAUCAGUUUUCAUGUCCAUCCACUUGCAAAAAAUCUGAGGAGGGGGGGAGUUGGUGGCAUAAACUUUCCUAAUCUGUUUCCAAACAAUCUAGGGGUGAGGUGGUUAGCAUAAGCUUUCAUGUCCAUCCACUUGCAAAAAAUGUGAGGAGGGGUGAGUUGGUGGCAUAAGCUUUCCUAACCUGUUUCCAAACUAGGGGUGAGAUGGUUAGCAUAAGCUUUCAUGUCCACCCACUUGCAAAAAAAACUGAGGAGUGGGGAGUUGGUGGCAUAAACUUUACUAAUCUGUUUCCAAACAAUCUAGGGGUGAGGUGGUUAGUAUAAGCUUUCAUGUCCAUCCACUUGCAAAAAAUCUGAGGAGGGGGGCAGUUGGUGGCAUAAACUUUCAUGGCCAUCCACUUGCAAAAAAUCUGAGGAGUGUGUGGCAUACACUUUCCUAACCUGUUUCCAACCAAUCUAGGGGUGAGGUGGUUAGCAUAAGCUUUCAUGUCCAUCCACUUGCAAAAAAAUUGAGGAGGGGGGGGGGAGUUGGUGGCAUAAACUUUCCUAAUCUGUUUCCAAACAAUCUAGGGAUGAGGUGGUUAGUGUAAGAUUUCAUGUCCAUCCACUUGCAAAAAAUCUGAGGAGGGGGCAAGUUGGUGGCAUAAACUUUCCUAAUCUGUUAACAAAAAAUCUGAAGGGGGAAAAAGGGUAGUUUUAACAUAAUUUUUCGUGGACUUAAGGACACUUCCAUAAAAUCUGAGAUGGGGAGGAGGGAGUUGGUGGCAUAAGCUUUCCUAAGUUUAGGUUCAGAAAUUCUAAAAAAAAGAA